rnacentral:misc_RNA from 1 species
AGGACACCUAGUAGAACAAUAUAAAUGGAUAAUGAGCAAAAUAUGAAUGAGGCGUAGCGGCAAAAGCAUUUGAAUAACAAUUUAUAAGAUUUUUUAGAUUGAUCACUGGAAAAAGAAAGGGAAGGCCAAAAUAUCCAAGGUAAGCUAUUCAGAUCUAAAUUUAAAGUGGUCUUUCUACAAGGUAAAACUUUAUUGAUGUGGUGGGAUAAAUUCCAGGUAAAUGAGGCUUUCUACAAAUAGCACCAAAAUCUAUACCAGGGGGAGCUCAUAGAUGCCCCAAAAAGAAAGUACAAGUAAAAGGCAAACCAAGGAGCUAAGACUCUUGAAUUUAAAACAAACCCUUAAAAAUGAGAUUAAAACUCAGAUCGACCAGCUUGAAUUGAAAAAAGAGACGGAUAAAG